GUCUUUGUAGUAUAUAAAAUACCUUGGUCUUGUAAACCAAAAAAGGAGUAACACGCACUCUCCCUAAGACU
rnacentral:tRNA from 1 species